rnacentral:rRNA from 1 species
GAUGAACGCUGGCGGCGUGCCUAAUACAUGCAAGUCGAGCGAACAGACGAGGAGCUUGCUCCUCUGACGUUAGCGGCGGACGGGUGAGUAACACGUGGAUAACCUACCUAUAAGACUGGGAUAACUUCGGGAAACCGGAGCUAAUACCGGAUAAUAUAUUGAACCGCAUGGUUCAAUAGUGAAAGACGGUUUUGCUGUCACUUAUAGAUGGAUCCGCGCCGCAUUAGCUAGUUGGUAAGGUAACGGCUUACCAAGGCAACGAUGCGUAGCCGACCUGAGAGGGUGAUCGGCCACACUGGAACUGAGCCACGGUACAGACUCGUACGGGAGGCAGCAGUAGGGAAUGUUACGCAAUGGGCGGAAGCCUGACGGAACAACGCCGCGUGAGUGAUGAAGGGCUUCGGAUCGUAAAACUCUGUUAUUAGGGAAGAACAAAUGUGUAAGUAACUAUGCACGUCUUGACGGUACCUAAUCAGAAAGCCACGGCUAACUACGUG